UGGUGUAGCUGGNCCUAAUUAACUUGGGGGCAUGUGCACACCUUUCUCUUUCAUCCCAUACACACCUGUGCACCUGUGAGACAGAUGUUUUCUAGGGGGGAAGGAACUUUAUUGGACCUACUACUCCUUGAACUCUCUGACUACUUAAACUAUAUAAACUCAAUUUAUUUUAAGAUGGAUGUGAUGGAUGUAACACAUCUAAUACUAUGUUUCAACAACGCUUCUCUUGGCUCUCUCAUCGAUGAAGAACGCAACAAACUGCAAUAAGUGGUGUGAAUUGAAUAAUUCACUGAAUCAUCGCUUCUUUGGACCCCCCUUCCCCUCGUUGUUAUUCCGAGGAUCCUGCCUGUAUUAGUAUUAUGACUUCUUCAACUGCCCCUGCUUUGGACCGCAGGUUCUUCUUCCUUCACACCUGCUCCUCUUUGCGUCUUACCUGGAUCUCCUCGUUAUGCUUGGUCCCGCUCACCGUGAUAAGAAUCUAUCCCCGAGGACUCUGNAACUGGUGGCCACGGAAAAUGCAAAUGAACCGUUUCUAAUAGCCCUUUAAUUUGAAAAUAUUUUUAUGAUCUC
rnacentral:misc_RNA from 1 species